GGGAUCUUAGCUUAAUGGUAAAGCAUAUGACUUUUAAUCAUUAUUAUAUGAGUUCAAAUCUCAUAGAUCUCA
rnacentral:tRNA from 1 species